rnacentral:rRNA from 1 species
AACGUAGGAGACAAACGUUAUCCGGAGUUACUGGGCGUAAAGGGCGUGUAGGUGGUUUCGUAAGUCUGGCGUGAAAUUUUUCGGCUUAACCGGGAAAGGUCGUCGGAUACUGCGGAACUAGAGGACGGUAGAGGCGUGUGGAAUUCCGGGUGUAGUGGUGAAAUGCGUAGAUAUCUGGAGGAACAUCAGUGGCGAAGGCGACACCCUGGACUCAUACUGACACUGAGGUGCGAAAGCGUGGGGAGCAAACAGG